GACGAACGCUGGCGGCGUGCUUAACACAUGCAAGUCGAACGGAAAGGCCCUGCGUUUGUGGGGUUCUCGAUUGGCGAACGGGUGAGUAACACGUGAGUAUCCUGCCCUUGUCUGUGGGGGAACUUCAGGGAACUGGGGCUAAUACCGGAUAUGAUCUCCUGCUGCGUGGGGGUGGUUGGUAAGUUUCGGCGGUUGGGGAUGGACUCGCGGCUUAUGAGCUUGUUGGUGUGGUAGGUGCUGACCAAGGGUUUGACGGGUAGCCGGCCUGGGAGGGUGACCGGGCACCUUGGGACUGCGGUACGGCGCAGACUGCUACGGGAGGCAGCAGUGGAGAAUCUUACGGAGUGGGGGCACGUCUGAUGCGGAGGCGCCGCGAUCGGGAUGCCGGCCUUUGAGUUGAAAACAGAUUUCGCAGGUGCCGAACAGUGCGUGACGGUAAUGGGUCAAGAAGCAACGGCUAACUACGUG
rnacentral:rRNA from 1 species